CAUUACCACUAAAACAACGAUUUUGAAUCAACAGUGGCCCGCUGGUCCGCAACAGUCACAUGUUGGUCCAUUUUCCGGUUUUUUGGUACGCGGGCAUAGCGAGUCUGUUUCUCCAGUAUCACAUAACCAAAAACAUAUACCAAUAUUAAUGUUUUAUAAAUCUACCGUGGUAACGCCAACUAAACCCACUAUAAUCGUUCGUGAUUUUUAACUGGUCAUAAUAUGAUGAUAUCGUAUUUAUUCUUGCAACAAUACAUUGGACAAUUUCUCCGGAACUAGUUAGGUAAACAUUUUCUUAAGAACGCGGGGGAGUCACGCAAGUUUUCUUGUCUCCGACUAAAGUAUAAAACUCAGAUCAUAGUGUGCAUAUUAUUUAAACGUAUUAUAUGCACGACCUAUUUCGGACGUUUUUAAGUUUUGGCGGCUCACAACAUAUAAAAGACGUUUUUUUAGUCGACGAUGUGGCCACGAGUUGGAAACCUUUUAUCAAAAUGUCUCCGGGUAUUAUAUAUUGUGAUCGAUAUCAUUUUCAACAGUUUGUCGGAAUACAGUUUACGCAGUGAGUGUGAGCAAGAAAUGUCACAACCACACAGUUUAAUAUGUAUUGGUUUGUAAAGUUAAUAAUACGUCAUCGGCUGGCGUAUUUCGGGACAGGUUUGUGGUUUCGAGGUGUGUCGUGUGUGGUGACUUUGAAGAACCUUUGACGCAUUUCAGCCUCCCUUCAGCCCGUCGAGGACCAUCUUCGACACCCGUCAUGGAAUCUUCACGAUCUGUUCCAGCAUCUCCUCACCACGUCGUGGAAAGUCAUCGAUAAGUAGAAAAAAAUGUAACUUUGAAACUAAACGUUGAGUACCUAUAGUUUGAAGCCACGUCCAGUCGCCACUGGGUAAAAGUCAAUUAACGGAAAAUCGGCAGCCCUUUUGAUAUAAUAUGAGUGUAUAAAAUAGGUAUAGAGGUUACUCGCUGAAACCGAAUCGGUAAUCAAUGUUAUGGUACUGCAUUUAUAAUACAAUUAACAGGAUAAAAUAACUUUUUGAAAUUUUUGCAAGACAA